rnacentral:misc_RNA from 1 species
UGCAAGCUGCGAGAUGCC